UACGUAGGGGGCGAGCGUUGUCUGGAUUUAUUGGGCGUAAAGAGCUCGUAGGCGGUUUGGCAAGUCGGGUGUGAAAACUCCGGGCUCAACUCGGAGACGCCACUCGAUACUGCCAUGACUCGAGUCCGGUAGGGGAGUGCGGAAUUCCUGGUGUAGCGGUGAAAUGCGCAGAUAUCAGGAGGAACACCGGUGGCGAAGGCGGCACUCUGGGCCGGUACUGACGCUGAGGAGCGAAAGCGUGGGGAGCGAACAGG
rnacentral:rRNA from 1 species